rnacentral:rRNA from 1 species
UGGCGGCAGGCCUAACACAUGCAAGUCGAACGGUAACAGGAAGCAGCUUGCUGCUUUGCUGACGAGUGGCGGACGGGUGAGUAAUGUCUGGGAAACUGCCCGAUGGAGGGGGAUAACUACUGGAAACGGUAGCUAAUACCGCAUAACGUCGCAAGACCAAAGAGGGGGACCUUAGGGCCUCUUGCCAUCGGAUGUGCCCAGAUGGGAUUAGCUAGUAGGUGGGGUAACGGCUCACCUAGGCGACGAUCCCUAGCUGGUCUGAGAGGAUGACCAGCCACACUGGAACUGAGACACGGUCCAGACUCCUACGGGAGGCAGCAGUGGGGAAUAUUGCACAAUGGGCGCAAGCCUGAUGCAGCCAUGCCGCGUGUAUGAAGAAGGCCUUCGGGUUGUAAAGUACUUUCAGCGGGGAGGAAGGGAGUAAAGUUAAUACCUUUGCUCAUUGACGUUACCCGCAGAAGAAGCACCGGCUAACUCCGUGCCAGCAGCCGCGGUAAUACGGAGGGUGCAAGCGUUAAUCGGAAUUACUGGGCGUAAAGCGCACGCAGGCGGUUUGUUAAGUCAGAUGUGAAAUCCCCGGGCUCAACCUGGGAACUGCAUCUGAUACUGGCAAGCUUGAGUCUCGUAGAGGGGGGUAGAAUUCCAGGUGUAGCGGUGAAAUGCGUAGAGAUCUGGAGGAAUACCGGUGGCGAAGGCGGCCCCCUGGACGAAGACUGACGCUCAGGUGCGAAAGCGUGGGGAGCAAACAGGAUUAGAUACCCUGGUAGUCCACGCCGUAAACGAUGUCGACUUGGAGGUUGUGCCCUUGAGGCGUGGCUUCCGGAGCUAACGCGUUAAGUCGACCGCCUGGGGAGUACGGCCGCAAGGUUAAAACUCAAAUGAAUUGACGGGGGCCCGCACAAGCGGUGGAGCAUGUGGUUUAAUUCGAUGCAACGCGAAGAACCUUACCUGGUCUUGACAUCCACGGAAGUUUUCAGAGAUGGGAAUGUGCCUUCGGGAACCGUGAGACAGGUGCUGCAUGGCUGUCGUCAGCUCGUGUUGUGAAAUGUUGGGUUAAGUCCCGCAACGAGCGCAACCCUUAUCCUUUGUUGCCAGCGGUCCGGCCGGGAACUCAAAGGAGACUGCCAGUGAUAAACUGGAGGAAGGUGGGGAUGACGUCAAGUCAUCAUGGCCCUUACGACCAGGGCUACACACGUGCUACAAUGGCGCAUACAAAGAGAAGCGACCUCGCGAGAGCAAGCGGACCUCAUAAAGUGCGUCGUAGUCCGGAUUGGAGUCUGCAACUCGACUCCAUGAAGUCGGAAUCGCUAGUAAUCGUGGAUCAGAAUGCCACGGUGAAUACGUUCCCGGGCCUUGUACACACCGCCCGUCACACCAUGGGAGUGGGUUGCAAAAGAAGUAGGUAGCUUAACCUUAGGGAGGGCGCUUACCACUUUGUGAUUCAUGA